CAAAAACAUCGCCUUUUGUCUAACUAUAAAAGGUCAAGCCUGCCCAGUGACAUUGUUCAACGGCCGCGGUAUUCUAACCGUGCGAAGGUAGCGUAAUCACUUGUUUUUUAAAUGAGGACUAGUAUGAAUGGCUUCACGAAGGCUAUACUGUCUCCCUUAUCCAAUCAGUUAAACUAAUCUUCCCGUGAAGAAGCGGGAAUAAACCUAUAAGACGAGAAGACCCUAUGGAGCUUUAAACACUUUUAAACAUUUGACAUUUAACAUUUCAACUUUCAGAAAACUUUACUAAACCAAUCGAUUUGUUUUAAGUUUUAGGUUGGGGUGACCACGGAGAACAACAAAACCUCCACGUAGAAAGAACCUUUCUCUAAGCAAAAAGCCACAUCUUUACGCAUCAAUAAUACUGACCUUAAUUGACCCAAUUCUUUGAUCAACGAACCAAGUUACCCUAGGGAUAACAGCGCAAUCCGCUUUAAGAGCUCUUAUCGACAAGCGGGCUUACGACCUCGAUGUUGGAUCAGGGGAUCCCAGUGGUGCAGCAGCUACUAAUGGUUCG
rnacentral:rRNA from 1 species